GGGGUGCAACACGAGGACUUCCCAAGAGGUCACCCAUCCUAAUACUACUCUCGCCCAAGCACGCUUAACUUCGGAGUUCUGAUGGGAUCCGGUGCAUUAGUGCUGGUAUGAUCGCACCC
rnacentral:rRNA from 1 species